CUGGGCGUGUCUAUGAAAGCACUUGUGGUUGCACCAUAUGCUGACUCGGUGAGUAGAAAUUUCAAAAACAAUUGGAUACAAAUAAUAUCUAAAGUAUUGUUUAUUUUGUAUGUGUAUGUAACAUCUGAGAACCGUAUAUCUAACAUAAAAAUAUGUUCCUGGUAACAUUUAUCACAUUUCAACUGAAUGCGAUAUAUGGUCGUUAGUUUUAAUUCUCGAUUAAGAAGCAUCAGAUCGAUUAUUCAUGUUGUCAUUUUGACCGGGCUUUUUAUUUUUUUUGGUAAAUUUUAAUUCAAAGUUGAAAAUUUGACUUCAUCUUUUAUAUUAAACAAGGAAGACUUCCGGUCAAUUUCCC
rnacentral:lncRNA from 1 species